rnacentral:rRNA from 2 species
AUGGAGCAACGCCGCGUGAGUGAAGAAGGGUUUCGGCUCGUAAAACUCUGUUGUUAAAGAAGAACAUAUCUGAGAGUAACUGUUCAGGUAUUGACGGUAUUUAACCAGAAAGCCACGGCUAACUACGUGCCAGCAGCCGCGGUAAUACGUAGGUGGCAAGCGUUGUCCGGAUUUAUUGGGCGUAAAGCGAGCGCAGGCGGUUUUUUAAGUCUGAUGUGAAAGCCUUCGGCUCAACCGAAGAAGUGCAUCGGAAACUGGGGAACUUGAGUGCAGAAGAGGACAGUGGAACUCCAUGUGUAGCGGUGAAAUGCGUAGAUAUAUGGAAGAACACCAGUGGCGAAGGCGGCUGUCUGGUCUGUAACUGACGCUGAGGCUCGAAAGUAUGGGUAGCAAACAGGAUUAGAUACCCUGGUAGUCCAUACCGUAAACGAUGAAUGCUAAGUGUUGGAAGGUUUCCGCCCUUCAGUGCUGCAGCUAACGCAUUAAGCAUUCCGCCCUGGGGAGUACGGCCGCAAGGCUGAAACUCAAAGGAAUUGACGGGGGCCCGCACAAGCGGUGGA